GGAUUCCAAAAAGGAGAAUGUUGGGAUGUGUGGCCUUGGUGCUGGCCUGAGCACUCAGUGCCUUUACUCUCCUUUUGGACAAUAGUUCGGUGUGGCACUGUUUGUGGUGAGGCGAGGGAAAAACGGAGACGGAGACAAGAGAACAGCACAGGAUCUAUGGAGGGCUUUUCAUGUUUGAAGUAGGCCUUUUUACUCCUGGAAGCAAGGGAAGAAGGGGGAGACUGUUUGGGAACUAUGGAGAUCCUCCUGCGUGUCUUCUGCUUCAGAGUCUGAGAUCAUUGGAAGCAAGGAAGCAAAGAGGAAAUUAUCUCUGA
rnacentral:lncRNA from 1 species